rnacentral:rRNA from 1 species
GUAGGUGGCAAGCGUUGUCCGGAAUUAUUGGGCGUAAAGCGCGCGCAGGCGGUUCUUUAAGUCUGAUGUGAAAGCCCACGGCUCAACCGUGGAGGGUCAUUGGAAACUGGAGAACUUGAGUACAGAAGAGGAAAGCGGAAUUCCACGUGUAGCGGUGAAAUGCGUAGAGAUGUGGAGGAACACCAGUGGCUAAGGCGGCUUUCUGGUCUGUAACUGACGCUGAGGCGCGAAAGCGUGGGGAGCAAACAGGAUUAGAUACCCUGGUAGUCCACGCCGUAAACGAUGAGUGCUAAGUGUUAGGGGGUUUCCGCCCCCCUUAGUGCUGCAGCUAACGCAUUAAGCACUCCGCCUGGGAUACGGCCGCAAGGCUG